AAAAUACAAAACAUCAUAAUAAUUAAUACUAAUCCAUCCAAAAUACAAAUUAAAACAUCAUCAUAACUAGUCCACUGAAUAAGAAGAUGAAAAAAACCAUAAACACAAGUUUCCCACAAAACACAAGUUUCCCAUUAUCAGGCAUAAUGAUAUAAAUAUAAUAACGUUCAGAGGAAUUUAUAAUGCACCUAGUGAAGCUUAGGGACGAUAGUUGGUCCAGAACUGCUUCAUUAACCUGUUGUCCCGCUGAAA
rnacentral:lncRNA from 1 species